UAAGUACUCCCUCCGUCCGAAAAUACUUGUCAUCAAAAUGAAUAAAAGAUGAUGUAUCUAGAUGUAUUUUAGUUCUAGAUACAUCAAUUUUUUGUCCAUUUUCAAGACAAGUAUUUUCGGACGGAGGGAGUAUGUA
rfam:Triticum aestivum genome assembly, contig: Triticum_aestivum_CS42_TGACv1_scaffold_196662_3AL